ACGAACGCUGGCGGCAUGCCUAACACAUGCAAGUCGAACGAGACCUUCGGGUCUAGUGGCGCACGGGUGCGUAACACGUGGGAAUCUGCCCUUAGGUUCGGAAUAACAGUUGGAACGACUGCUAAUACCGGAUGAUGACGUAAGUCCAAAGAUUUAUCGCCUAAGGAUGAGCCCGCGUCGGAUUAGCUAGUUGGUGGGGUAAAGGCCUACCAAGGCGACGAUCCGUAGCUGGUCUGAGAGGAUGAUCAGCCACACUGGGACUGAGACACGGCCCAGACUCCUACGGGAGGGCAGCAGUGGGGAAUAUUGGACAAUGGGCGAAAGCCUGAUCCAGCAAUGCCGCGUGAGUGAUGAAGGCCUUAGGGUUGUAAAGCUCUUUUACCCGGGAUGAUAAUGACAGUACCGGGAGAAUAAGCCCCGGCUAACUCCGUGCCAGCCGCCGCUGU
rnacentral:rRNA from 1 species